rnacentral:lncRNA from 1 species
GGGACCCCUGACUCUUGGUGCUCGAGACCGGCUGUCGAACCCUUUCGACGGGCCAGCCAUCGACCUCUCGAGACUGUUGUGGGCGCGUACCUUGGCUUACGAAACAAGGAAGCUGUCGUGCCGGUUCGUCUUUCUGCCCGUUGGGCGCGCCUUUUCAGGUAAGUGACGUUGCGACACCGUAUCGGCGGGGAAUUCGGAGCGUCCGGCCUGUGAGGAGGGAAAGGACCGUUAGACGGCGCAUUUAUGGGGGGUGUUACCUCAUUAAUCGGAUCCAUCCGUUGGCGGAUUGCGGCCUAUAAAUGCGUCGUGGCGCCGUCGCCGUUCCUCUUCCUUCCGCCCUCUCACUCCCAUUCUCUUGUUGCCUUUGCCUCCUUGCUGUCUCAGCUCUCUCGCCGUCUUACGCGCACACGCCUCCUCGUGCAGCAGCGGAUCCACCGCCUCUUCGGCCAAGAUGCCUG